rnacentral:misc_RNA from 1 species
GAUGAAGAACGUAGCGAAAUGCGAUAAGUAAUGUGAAUUGCAGAAUUCCGUGAAUCAUCGAAUCUUUGAACGCACAUUGCGCCCCCUGUAUUCCGGGGGGCAUGCCUGUCCGAGCGUCAUUGCAACCCUCAAGCGCGGCUUGUGUGUUGGGCUUCGUCCCCCCGUGGACGUGCCCGAAAGGCAGUGGCGGCGUCCCGAAUGGUGCCCGAGCGUAUGGGAACUCUCUUCCGCUCGAACCGGCCCAUUCGGCGCUGGUCGAACCCCAAUUUUUUUUUACCGGUUGACCUCGGAUCAGGUAGGGAUACCCGCUGAACUUAAGCAUAUCAAUAAGCGGAGGA